rfam:Hordeum vulgare subsp. vulgare, WGS project CAJW01000000 data, contig: morex_contig_1635923
CCCCUCGACGAACACGAGCUCAUCCCCUACAUCGGGGCUGGACUCGACAUAGAGUACCAGCCACUCGUCUCCGCCCUCGACGCCUGUGUGGAACCGGUCACCCUUGACGAACUGUUUGCUCAAAUGAGCAACUUCGAUC